rnacentral:rRNA from 1 species
GAUGAACGCUGGCGGCGUGCCUAAUACAUGCAAGUCGAGCGAACAGAUCAGGAGCUUGCUCCUUUGACGUUAGCGGAGCACGGGUGUGUCACACGUGGGUAACCUCCCUAUCAGUCUGGAAUCACUCCGGGACACCGGGGCUUAUGCCGGAUAACAUUUAGAACCGCAUGGUUCUAAAGUGAAAGAUGGUUUUGCUAUCACUUCUAGAUGGAUCUGCGCCGUAUUAGCUAGUUGGUAAGGUAACGGCUUACCAAGGCAACGAUACGUAUCCGACCUGAGAGGGGGAUCGGCCGCAUGGGAGCUGGGACGGCGUCCAGGGGCCUACGAGAGGCAGCAGUAGGGAAUCUGCCGCAGUGGGCGAGAGCCUGACGGAGCAACGCCGCGCGAGUGAUGAAGGUGUUGGGUGCGUAAAACUCGGUUAUGAGGGAAGAACAAAUUUGGAAGGUACUGAGCACGGCGUGACGGUACCGAAUCAGAAAGCCACGGCUAACUACGUG